UGAGGAAUAUUGGUCAAUGGGCGAGAGCCUGAACCAGCCAAGUAGCGUGCAGGAUGACGGCCCUAUGGGUUGUAAACUGCUUUUAUAUGGGAAUAAAGUGAGGGACGUGUCCCUUAUUGCAUGUACCAUACGAAUAAGGACCGGCUAAUUCCGUGCCAGCAGCCGCGGUAAUACGGAAGGUCCAGGCGUUAUCCGGAUUUAUUGGGUUUAAAGGGAGCGUAGGCUGUUUGUUAAGCGUGUUGUGAAAUGUAGGAGCUCAACUUCUAGAUUGCAGCGCGAACUGUCAGACUUGAGUGCGCACAACGUAGGCGGAAUUCAUGGUGUAGCGGUGAAAUGCUUGGAUAUCAUGAAGAACUCCGAUUGCGAAGGCAGCUUACGGGAGCGCAACUGACGCUGAAGCUCGAAGGUGCGGGUAUCGAACAGG
rnacentral:rRNA from 1 species